rnacentral:lncRNA from 1 species
CACCAAGUCUGUUAUAUCUCCCCUCUCUGUUUUACAUAAACAUUUCCCCUCUAUUCCAGGGGUAUAUGUUCCAAGACCCCCAGCAGGUGCCUGAAACCACAGAUAGUACCAAGCCUUUUGCAGUCAUCUCUCCAGUAUCUGUGGGGGAUUGGUUCCAGGACCUCCCAUGGAUACCAAAAUCUACAGAUGCUCAAGUGCCUUAUAUAAAAUAGCAUAGUAUUUGCAUAUAACCAAUGCACAUCCUCCUGUAUACUUUAAAUCAUCUCUAUAUUGCUAGAGAUGUAAUAUCUACUGUAAUAUAAAUGCUAUGCAGAUAGUUACAUUGUUUAGGGAAUAAUGACAGAAAAGUCUAUAUGUUCAGUACAGAUGCAACUAUCCUUCUUUAAAAAUAUGUUCUUCCACAGUUGGUUGAAUCUGGCGAUGUGGAACCCAUGGAUAUGGAGGGCUGACUAUAUACACCAUGUUUUUUCCUGGCACAUCACUCAACUACUAUUAGCUGGCGAGUCAACUCACGUUGUUGGAAUGACUAGGGACAACUAGACUUCAAGUGAUCUUUCAUCCCAGGAAUAUAAAUAGUUUCUGGAAAGGACACUGACAACUUCAAAGCAAAAUGAAGUUCUUUCUGUUGCUUUUCACCAUUGGGUUCUGCUGGGCUCAGUAUUCCCCAAAUACACAACAAGGACGGACAUCUAUUGUUCAUCUGUUUGAAUGGCGAUGGGUUGAUAUUGCUCUUGAAUGUGAGCGAUAUUUAGCUCCCAAGGGAUUUGGAGGGGUUCAGGUCUCUCCACCAAAUGAAAAUGUUGCAAUUCACAACCCUUUCAGACCUUGGUGGGAAAGAUACCAACCAGUUAGCUAUAAAUUAUGCACAA